GCCGGCAUGGCUCAGUGGUUGAGCGUCAACCUAUGAACUAGGAGGUCUGGGUUCGCUUCCCGGUCAGGGCA
rnacentral:tRNA from 1 species